rnacentral:rRNA from 1 species
UGUGGUUUAAUUCGAAGCAACGCGCAGAACCUUACCAGCCUUUGACAUGGCAGGACGAUUUUCAGAGAUGGAUCUCUUCCAGCAAUGGACCUGCACACAGGUGCUGCAUGGCUGUCGUCAGCUCGUGUCGUGAGAUGUUGGGUUAAGUCCCGCAACGAGCGCAACCCUCGCCUUUAGUUGCCAUCAUUCAGUUGGGCACUCUAAAGGGACUGCCGGUGAUAAGCCGCGAGGAAGGUGGGGAUGACGUCAAGUCCUCAUGGCCCUUACGGGCUGGGCUACACACGUGCUACAAUGGCGGUGACAGUGGGAUGCAAAGGGGCGACCCCUCGCAAAUCUCAAAAAGCCGUCUCAGUUCGGAUUGUACUCUGCAACUCGAGUGCAUGAAGUUGGAAUCGCUAGUAAUCGUGGAUCAGCAUGCCACGGUGAAUACGUUCCCGGGCCUU